UAAUACAGAGGUGGCGAGCGUUGUUCGGAUUUACUGGGCGUAAAGGGCGCGUAGGCGGCCCUGCGUGUCGGGUGUGAAAUCUCCGGGCCCAACCCGGAAAGUGCGCCCGAAACUGCGGGGCUCGAGUGCGGGAGGGGAGAUCGGAAUGCAGGGUGUAGCGGUGAAAUGCGUUGAUAUCCUGCAGAACACCGGUGGCGAAGGCGGAUCUCUGGAACGCAACUGACGCUGAGGCGCGAAAGCAGGGGGAGCAAACAGG
rnacentral:rRNA from 1 species